rnacentral:rRNA from 1 species
CCUACGGGUGGCAGCAGUGGGGAAUAUGGGGCAAUGGGCGCAAGCCUGACCCAGCAACGCAGCGUGAAGGAAGAAGGCUGUCGGGUUGUAAACUUCUGGUCUCAGGGACGAAGAAAGUGACGGUACCUGAGGAAUAAGCCACGGCUAACUACGCGCCAGCAGCCGCGGUAAUACGUAGGGGGCAAGCGUUAUCCGGAUUUAUUGGGUGUACAGGGCGGGUAGGCGGGAGCGCAAGUCAGAUGUGAAAACUCAUGGCUCAACCCUGAGCCUGCAUUGGAAACUGUGUUUCUUGAGUGCUGGAGAGCCAAUCGGAAUUCCGUGUGUAGCGGUGAAAUGCGUAGCUAUACGGAGGAACCCCAGUGGCGAAGGCGGAUUGCUGGACAGUAACUGCCGCUGAGGCGCGAAAGCGUGGGGAGCAAACAGGAUUAGAUACCCCGGUAGUC